ensembl:lncRNA SEPTIN4-AS1 SEPTIN4 antisense RNA 1
GGUUUCACUUUCUCCUUAGCCAGGAGAAGUGCCCCAAAUUUCUAAUCCCUUAAGCCAGGACCUUGGUAGCCCUGAGGUGUGAUGGGAGACUCUGGACAGAACCACCUGUUGACCUAUCCAGGACCCAAAUAUGCACCACAGCACCAAGAAGUUUCCGGUCCCGGUACAGAUCAGUGAGGAAGAGGCUAUUGACAAGUGUGGAUUUGCCCAGGCCAGACUCUCCUGAGAGGAGAGAGGACAGAGGCACCAAAUCAGAAGGGACCCUUCUCUGGGCUGUCUGAUAGUCUGCAGAGACACAGCUGCUUCCGUGCUCUAGGAGAGAGGGACUCCUUGGAGAUCUGAUCUCACUAGUAGUCGUAAUUCUUUGGAUGGGCUCAGUUUGUACUGCUUCAUCCUUUGGAGAAGGCUCCAGACCCUCCUUUACUCUCCCGAGAUUCUAGAAAUUCUCAGGACUCAUCCAGAGAAGGAAUCAGCCAGAAGAUCCUAUGAAGACAAGAUCAAACCAAACACGCUGUGUUCGCCCCAGUUUUAAUAAGAAAUCUGACUGAAAACAAAUGGUUGAAUGUGCUGCUAACAGAGAGGGCCAAACGAUGAUGUCUAUUGUGGCAGCUGAACAAAGUGAGACUUACAGAACUGGAACUGCUGCCCUGACA